UUAGAGAUUUGCAUCCGAUCGCUCGGUAGCUGCCCUUUGUCCCUGCCAUUGUAACACGUGUGUCGCCCCGGAUGUAAGGGCCGUGCUGAUUUGACGUCAUCCCAACCUUCCUCACAGCUUACUAAGGCAUAACUGACACUGAAGCACGAAAGCGUGGGUAUCAAACAGGAUUAGAUACCCUGGUAGUCCACGCAGUAAACGAUGAUUACUAGGAGUUUGCGAUAUAGUGUAAGCUCUACAGCGA
rfam:Tannerella sp. oral taxon BT063 isolate Cell 1/3 contig_2519917615, whole genome shotgun sequence.